rnacentral:lncRNA from 1 species
AAAAAGUAGAUGAAAAAACUAGGGAGAAAAGAGGGGAACGUGAGUAAUGGGGAAGAGAUUUAAGGAAAUCUUUUUAAUUUUCAAAUAAAAGAAAAGAAAAGAAUAAAAAAAAAACCGCAUCCUAUCUAACCACUAAACCCACUAAUCUAUUCCUCAUCCAAUAGACUUUUUAGAGUUGAAAAUUGACCCAAAUUUCCCUAGAUGGGUGGCACAGAGACACUAGCAAAAAUAAUUCCACUUUGCUCAUGCAAGGAUUCUAACACAAGACCAAAAGGUAAAUUAAA